rnacentral:rRNA from 1 species
AGCGAACGCUGGCGGCAGGCCUAACACAUGCAAGUCGAGCGAACUCUUCGGAGUUAGUGGCGGACGUGUGAGUAACACGUGGGAACGUGCCUUUUGGUUCGGAAUAACUCAGGGAAACUUGUGCUAAUACCGAAUGUGCCCUUCGGGGGAAAGAUUUAUCGCCAUUAGAGCGGCCCGCGUCUGAUUAGCUAGUUGGUGAGGUAACGGCUCACCAAGGCGACGAUCAGUAGCUGGUCUGAGAGGAUGACCAGCCACACUGGGACUGAGACACGGCCCAGACUCCUACGGGAGGCAGCAGUGGGGAAUCUUGCGCAAUGGGCGAAAGCCUGACGCAGCCAUGCCGCGUGAAUGAUGAAGGUCUUAGGAUUGUAAAAUUCUUUCACCGGGGACGAUAAUGACGGUACCCGGAGAAGAAGCCCCGGCUAACUUCGUG